UGGAUUAUUACAAAACCGGUAUCAUCA
rnacentral:piRNA from 1 species